CAUUCAAUAUUGAAAUAUAUGAGGGUGUAAGACAUACAGAAGAUGCUGUUAGUGUAGAUAUGUUUGUUCAGGAAUGUUCGAACCUGGAAAGCAAUCCUAUAAUAUU